UCUGACCCCCGGAGCCGGAGCCGCCGCCGACAAAUAAAGCGCCGGAGCCGCCGCCGAGCCGCCAGGUUCAUCUAUAAGAUUCCAAAAUAAGUGUGUCUAAACUCCAAGGCUCACCUUACAGCAGUAUAUAGAACUGUGGGAAUACAUGGGAGACUUCAGAUGGCCUAAGUGGACGUAAAUUCUGUGGCUGUGGAAAGGGGUGAUCCUACAGUUCCAAGCCACCACUGGUGCAGCAGUAGCGUUUUUAUGGAAAUUCUGGUGAUUAACAGUCAUGGCAACCAUAGAGGAACUGGCCCAUCAAAUUAUUGAGCAGCAAAUGGGAGAGAUUACCCAUUCUCAGGGAGCUGUUACACAAACACUAAUGGAUGGGGCAGCACAACGAAUACAGAUCGUCCCUUCAGAUUCAGGCCUCUCUUUACCACAGCGUAUACAGAUUGUCACAGAUCAGCAGACGGGCCAGAAGAUUCAGAUUGUUACAGCACUUGAUCAGAGCUCAGCAGGCAAGCAGUUCAUCCUAACAAAUCAUGAUGGCUCUACCCCAAGCAAGGUGAUCCUUGCCAGACAAGAUUCCACUCCAGGAAAAGUUAUCCUAGCAACUCCAGAUGCUGCAGGUGUCAACCAACUGUUUUUUGCAUCCCCUGAUAUAUCUGCACAACACAUCCAGAUUUUAACAGACAACUCUCCCAAUGAGCAGGCCCUAAAUAAAGUGUUUGAUCUGUGUGUUGUGUGUGGAGACAAGGCAUCAGGACGUCACUAUGGAGCAGUAACUUGUGAGGGUUGCAAAGGAUUCUUUAAAAGGAGUAUACGGAAGAAUUUGGUGUAUUCGUGCCGAGGAACAAAGGACUGUGUCAUUAACAAACACCACCGGAAUCGCUGUCAGUACUGCCGGCUGCAGCGAUGCAUCGCCUUCGGAAUGAAACAAGACUCUGUGCAGUGUGAGAGGAAACCUAUUGAAGUGUCAAGAGAAAAGUCUUCAAACUGUGCAGCUUCUACAGAAAAGAUCUACAUUCGGAAAGAUCUUCGCAGCCCAUUGGCUGCAACUCCAACUUUUGUAACAGACAAUGAAACAGCAAGAUCAACAGGUCUGCUGGAAUCAGGAAUGUUCGUUAACAUUCAGUCUGGAAUUAAAAGCGAGCCUACAGUGCUGAUGACUCCAGAUAAGGUUGAAGCCUGUCAGGGAGACUUAAGUACCCUGGCAAAUGUGGUGACAUCUUUAGCAAACCUCAGUAAAUCCAAAGAUCUGUCACAAAGCAGUACAGAGCUCUCUAUGAUUGAGAGUUUAAGUAAUGGAGAUGGAUCGUUACCUGAACUUCAGCAAGAAGAACAAGGAAGUAGUGAUGUUACAAGGGCAUUUGAUACUCUUGCAAAAGCAUUAAAUCCUGGAGAGAGUGCAGCGUGCCAGAACUCUGAAAGUGUUGAGGCCAACGUGCAGCUUGGUGGUGGAGAAACAAGCAUGAAUAUCGUUGAAAUAGAGGGGCCGCUACUCAGUGAUGCACAUGUAGCAUUCAGGCUCACCAUGCCUUCUCCUAUGCCCGAAUAUCUUAACGUUCACUAUAUCUGUGAGACUGCCUCCAGGUUGCUUUUCCUGUCCAUGCACUGGGCACGUUCCAUUCCAUCUUUCCAAGCUUUAGGACAGGAUAACAGCAUAUCAUUAGUAAAAGCCUGCUGGAACGAACUUUUUACGCUUGGUCUUGCACAGUGCUCUCAGGUCAUGAAUGUGGCGACUAUUUUGGCUGCGUUUGUUAAUCACCUUCACGACAGCUUACAGCAAGACAAGCUGCCAACAGACAGAGGAAAACUAGUAAUGGAACACAUCUUCAAACUGCAAGAGUUCUGUAACAGUAUGGUGAAGCUUUGCCUAGAUGGAUAUGAAUAUGCAUAUUUGAAAGCAAUUGUACUCUUCAGUCCUGAUCAUCCAGGGCUGGAAAAUGUGGUACAGAUUGAAAAAUUUCAAGAAAAGGCAUACAUGGAGUUCCAAGACUACGUAACAAAAGCUUAUCCAGAUGAUACUUACAGACUGUCUCGACUUCUUCUCCGAUUGCCUGCCCUGAGGCUGAUGAGUGCUGCCAUUACUGAAGAGCUGUUCUUUGCAGGACUAAUUGGAAACGUUCAGAUUGAUAGCAUCAUCCCAUACAUUCUGCGAAUGGAGACGGCAGACUACAAUACUCAAAUAAUUGGUCACGCUGUAUAAAAGUAGCAAUCAAGGAUUCCAUACCAUGGCAGUCAUGGUGAUGUAAAUGCAUACUCUGUCUCCAAGAGAUGGCAGUAGGCCUUCCCAUGCACCUUUCUAAAGAAGACUCGUGUUCCUCCUUUCCAGUACACUUGGGAAAUGCGGUGGAGUGUCUUAAGGAAUACAGGAUCGCUUCCUAUUUUUCAUCUGAUCUUCAAGGACUUGUAAAUAGACUUGAUAUCUGAGGAAAGUCAAGAAUUGUCCAUCCUAUUUUUGUAGAUAGAUGAACUUGGAAUAUUUGUUUAUGAAACCCAGGCUUGUGAAGAAACGGAAGAAGCUUUGACUGAACUAAGAGUUGUUUGGAUCUUCCACUGCCACCUUCUAAUGAGAGGCUGUACUACAGGAUUGCUCAUACACAGAUCCAGAGAUGGAAACACUUGGUGCUGAGGACCUCCAGUGGGAUGGAACCAUUCUCCCCUGCUCUGAACUUGGCACGUAGCAACCUUCUGGAGAACAGCCUUUAAAGAUGCUGGAGCUUCCCACGUGCCCGAGCCCUUCCCACAGUCCGUGUGUCUAAAGGAGAAGGAUUGAGGCUCUGCAUUCAUGUUCCCUGGAGUUCAAGAAGUGUGAGGACUUUUUUCUGUCUCAAGAGGGCAGUAGUCAUGGAAAUGUGAAAGACAGUGGCUGUCAGUAUGCUGUGCUUGUCUCUUCCCCGUGGUUACAGGCCCCGCCAUCUUGCUGUCUGUAGGACCAAAUUGCGGAUGGGAAGUGAAUUGUUCUAUUCACGCUUCCUCAGAAAUUUGGACCCUGUCUUCCAGCCCUUCUCCUUUGCUAGCAGGAACAGUUAUAAAAAGUUAAGUUAUAAAAAGGAAAGUUUAAACCUUUCAAGGAAGUUGCCAGGCGGUUACCCCUGAAUAAUUUGUAAAUGGUUUACCAGGCAUUCCAAAUAUUGGAAGAAUUUGAUUCCAAUAUUCUCCAAAUUCAGAUAACUCAUUUUUCUUCUAAAUGCAGUAGAGACUGCAAAUUUCUCCCACAUCCUUGCAGAUUUAUAUUUUUUUAGCCUUUGGGAUCUGUGCCUCAGACAUGACGAGCAGUUCUUUGUUUACAGCUGGGCAGAAGAUUCAGCAAAUGUGGUUUCUGCAUGGUAUUGUAUAGCUGCAGAAACAGCUGAGAAAAUACCAAUGUUUGUAGAGAGGUAAGUCUUUAGGGAUUGAAUCCUUCAACAUACCUGUCUUUAAGAGCCACGUUUUGAAGGAUGUGGCCAUAGAAACUUAUUUUCUCUGAAAUUCUGCUUGUUCCCCCUUCACACCAUAGUCUGAACACAACUUGGCCUACUUCAGGGAAGCGUGGACUGCUAUCACCGCUGACUGCUGGAUCAGGACAGCUUUGUUAGGCUGUGUUAACUCAGAAGCACAAGAACCAUGGUCACAUUCUUUUUGGAUGCCUGUCACCUCUGCAUGGCAGCAAAAGUUUCAAAUCUCAUUGGCUGACUUUUCCCCUUUCCACAUCUCUUACUGUUACUUUCCUGGCAAAAUCUUUUGAGCUUCAUCUGGGAUUUAUGCCAGGUUACAUCAAGAAUUCAACCCAUCCAUGUUUUUCUUUUUAAAACCAGUGUUUCCAGAUGUGAGACUACACAUUGUGUGUUGGGUAGCAAGAGACAUGUGUCACACCCUUUCACAUGACAGAAACUUGCAUAUAUCAUAGAAUCUAUUUUUCUCAGUCAGGUGAGAAGUCAAACAGGACGCCCAUCUCCAAGCUCAGUUACAGACUCUUAUUGAGAGCAGUGUAGUUGAGUCACCAUCAGUAAUCAGGAUAUACUCCAGUAGUUCCCAGGCUUUGCUCAAUAUCUGCAUAGUAUUAUUACAAAAUGGAAACCUUGUUCAAGAGAUGUUCAAAUUGCCAAGAAGUGGCAUACACUUUUUAUGUAUUGUGUGGCUAUGUGCAUACCCAUCCAAAAAGAAAAGAUAUUUAUCUCAAAAAGAUUCCAGUUAUUUCUGCUGUCCAUCUGUGCGAUAAUCAUAUGCCCUCCCUUCCCCUUGCUGUUGGUGGCUGACCAAGUGUAAGCUCUAUACUGACUGUCAAGUGAAACAAAAGAGGGAGACAGAUGCGUGUACACCCAAGGUAUUGUAAGGGCCUCCCCAAAAAACCAUAAUCUUGGAUACCUCCAAUGUCUGGAUUUCUAUAAAGUGAAUGUGCAGAUACGCAACACACUGCAAAAAGUGCUGCCUACUGGUAAGUAACCUUUUUCCCAAUGUUUCUUACAUAUUUUCCUUAUAAAUGUUCAGUGUAAGUUCAGUACUGGGUUAAAGGCAGAGUGCAUGCUGGUCUGUGCUGCCUGGCGAGUAUUCUCUCCUGUCUUGAUGAUCAAGGUGGUUCCCAUAGUGCAGGUAGUUGCAUUUGCGUUAUUCAAUUUUCUUACCAAGACUUUUCAUUUAUCAUUUUGCAUUCUUUAACUAUAAGUUCAUGCUUUUGAUGAGGAGUGAGGCACAACUGGGCUUUCUCAGGAAUGGGUUGCCCUUCGUGCUGUUCAGUCACACUGUUGUUCAGCCAACACAAAUGUGAGCAGUGAGGCUCACAUCACUGUGGAUGCUAAAGUACCUCAUUAUUUUUGUGACCUUUUCUCCUUUAUGUUUUAUUCUGAUCUUCAGCAUUCUGAAACUUUCCAUACCUCAUCAGAAUACAACUAAACUGCAGCUCUUACUACUAAUAAUUCGCUUUGCCAAUGAAUGAACGAGCUCUGUUCUGAUAGCUUUAAAAUGUUUAAUGUUAUGAAAAUUCACUUUUGUAUCAAUCACAUGAGUGGAAGAAAUGAUACACUUGGAAUCCUGUCCCUUCAGAUGGGAGCAGCGAAACACAGAACAAAUUGACUAGUUUGGAAGUGUAUGUUGUGAGUAUAUACAUGAGUUGAGGGGGCUUGUUUCGUACUGGUAGAGUUCCUGAUACAAACAAUUGUUCUACUUUAAACUUGCUUCAAAAGCACUUUCAUUGCAGUACCUUCUGCACUUAUAACCUGUUGGUACCUCUCUUCUGUGACCAUUGGUGUCAGUGAAAGUCACUGCUCUGUUAUUCUGUUCAGCAGCUGUGGUUUCCCAGCACAGGCAUUAGAACGUCGCUGUUCCUGUUCUGCUGUGGUAUAAAAAAUUCAUUGUAAAUGUCUUGAAACCUGAAUUUGUAAAGUCUAUUUUGGCUGUAUUUUUUAAAAUAAAUUGUAACUUUCUAUUAGAGAAAGCAAUAGUAACCACCUAUCUGUUAGUGUUCUACACAGGUUGUCUUACAGCCCUAAAGCAGUGUGUAUGAUUCCAAAGAGUCCGUGGAUAUUUCACUUUACUGUACAAUGUUGUGUUGUCAAUAGAUUCAUUCUCUGGGAUUUGUGACCACUGCGGUAUCUUGCUGUUCUCAACUCCUGUUGCUAUGAACUCUUUCUUUUGUGCUUACUGCUCCUUUCUGCCCUGGGAAUUUGGCUAUUUGAAAAUUAAUGAUUUAUUACAGAAUGUAAUUUACCAACAUUUUUUUUCUUUUAAAGCACUACAUACAGAUGUUGAUACAAUGAAUUCUGAUCACAGAUCUUCGUGCCAAGUAAAGCAAUAGUUAUUUUUGGAGAAGUUUAUUCAAUUCAUUAUGGAUUGUGAAAUGAUGACAAGUUUGGGUCCUUUCUAGAACUGAUUUCCCAGUGCCAAUUGAAGAGUUGUCUUUUUUUUUUUUGAUCUUUAAUUACAAGUGAUUGUGAUGUUUGCGUGAGUAUGCAGAUAGCAAGAACAAAUGAGAAAUGAGCUACCAUUCUCUCCAUGCCUAGAUUCUGAAAUGAAUUCAUCCUGAAGUAAAUGAAGUUCUGUGGAGUAGACAAUGCACUGUAGAGCAAAGCUUUGUGUGAUGAGAGAGAAAGUUUGAGUAAUGCUGAUGAGGGAAUAAGCAGUCGGACUCUCUUCCCCCUCCGUUAGCAGAUAGUCCAGUUGCUUUCUUGCUUCUGUUUUAAAAGCUUACCCUUCUCUGCACUUCCACAGAGCCCUGUUCUCUGGUAGGACUGCUAAUCUACUAUCUGCUCCUUCCCAUACCAGUAAUAUUCCACAGCCUUUUGGUCACCUCUGAACGAAAAAAGGAAGAGCUCUCUAGAAAGAAGUGCUCUUCUGGUUAAUAACAAAAGUCUAGAAACUCUCCAACGGGGUUACUCUGCAGCAUCUUCAGCCAACAUCUCUAACAGUCCUGUCUUUCCUCCUCAUACUUCUGUAUAAAGUAACCCCAAAUAACGUUUCUACUUCAUAUGAGCCCUUCUCUCCUGAGCUCUGCUUUUCCUUUGUUCAUGUGCACAAAGUCACAUUAACCCAUGCCUGUAAGCAGCCCUGUUAGCCACUUCAGUCUUCCUUUUAUCCUCAGCUCUGCAGUGUGAAGUGCUAUCCUCACCCUGAUGUGCUACUGCUAAUAUGUAACACAAUUUUGUGCUACAUGAAUCUUUUAUCAGAACUCAGGGUUGUGCAUUUUGGCUCCAAACUAGGAACCAAACGUAUCCUGAGUCAUGGCACUGGAGCUGACCUGUUCAAAGCAGUCACUCCUGGACACAUGGGGUUUUUGUGGCUGCUGAUGCUGAACACAUACAUAAGCUCCAUUAUGGAGACCUCAACCCUGCUUCACCUUUGGGUCUUACCAGGGAGCAAACUGAACGGCCACAUACUUUGGUUUAUGAUGGCUCUCAUUAAAAUUUUUCUUUCACACUGUAGCCAGUGAAAUUUUGCUAUUGGGAAUGAAAGGUAAAGGCAGCUGCUGUGUGAGAUGGCCCAGGCACUUCCUAAGAAGUGGCAUGAGUCUUCUAAAAGUGCCAGCACAGUUGGUUUUGAGUGUUUCAGUAUUGUCACAGAAGCAUAUACACACUAGAAUGUUUGUGGGGUUCUUCAGUAACAUUGUACCUUGAGCCUUGGUUCCAGACCAUGAAUCAAUCUCUUUUAAAGCAGCUGAAGACAAAUGAAAAACCUUUUUUGAUCGUGCUUUUGGGAAAUGUGGGCUAUAGGAGGGCUACAAAUCCAAGAGGGAAAGCAUUAGAUUGCACUGUUCAGACCAGAGUGAGAGAAACUACGGCUAGAGGCUGGGCCCACAGAAUGUAAAGAAUGGUGAUGUGAAUUUGACAUUGCUUCUGAGACUCAGAAAUUUUAGAAGGUUGGGGUACAUUUUCAAAAUCUACAUAGCUGGGUGUGUUGUGUGUUGGAUUUAUUAUUUUAAUUGCAAGAGGAAUUCCAAUUAAUUAUGCAAAUGUAUAUUCUUUAGUUGUGAAAUCAUUGCAGCAUAAACUUACAUGACUUCUCAUACAAAGAACAGAGGGAAUUGCAGUGGAAUAGAUAAACAAUUAAAAUAUAUAUAUUGUAUGGUAAAAUGUAAAUAUUGAAUUGCUUUGUGGGUUGUUUUUUUACACUUUCUGUGAAAUACUUGAACUUAGGUUUCUCAAAAUCAACUUAUCACUGAAUAAAGCUCUUAAAAAAAUAAAACAUAGGAUUCAAUGAGACUCUUCUGUGCAAUCAUUGAGUCAUUCAGGAAAUGGAUUUAUCUUCAAAAAAUGUGUUCUUGUGUACUACACUGUGAUUCUGUAUUAGAAAAGAAAUUGCUAACUGAUAUGUUCAGGGCUUGUAUAGAAUGGCAUUCUGACACUAAGUCUGUGCGACUUGCUGGAACCACAGGGGGAAAAAAAAAAGAACAUUAAAUUUGGUUAGGCAGUUUUUAAGACAGUGAAGUUCAACAUACAAAACUUUAGGGGCACGGCAUAUCUAACAGAGACUUAGCAUCAAAUCUUAGAAAGUGGGAAUAAAGAAUUAUUUAUGGGACCAUGAGUUUUACAGUCAAGUGAAUGCUAUCUUCCAAAGGUACCCCAAUAAAUUCUUAGGAAAGCAUUAUGCUUGUGCUUGUAUUCCACAUUAUUCAAUCACGGUAUGUGCACAGAGUUUGAGGAUAAUGUUGAACAGAGCAGUAAGAGUUUUCGUAAGUGGUGACCAGAUGUUAGCAAAAGCAUUGUAAGUAGGUGCAAUAGGACUUGAGCAUUUGGGCUAAUGGCAAUGACAUUCUUUGUGGAGACUUACUUGGCUUGAGGAAAAAUCAAAAUGUAAUGUAAAGAUGCUGUAAGAAGUUCCUGCUUCUACAAUUGUUGUUCCAUAAAAGCUUCAAUAAGCUGUAAGAAAAGCUGUAGGAUUGAAGUUGGAU